AUUGAACGCUGGCGGCAUGCUUUACACAUGCAAGUCGAACGGUAACAGGCCGCAAGGUGCUGACGAGUGGCGAACGGGUGAGUAAUGCAUCGGAACGUGCCCAGUCGUGGGGGAUAACGCAGCGAAAGCUGCGCUAAUACCGCAUACGAUCUCUGGAUGAAAGCGGGGGGCCGAAAGGCCUCGCGCGAUUGGAGCGGCCGAUGUCAGAUUAGGUAGUUGGUGGGGUAAAGGCCCACCAAGCCAACGAUCUGUAGCUGGUCUGAGAGGACGACCAGCCACACUGGGACUGGGACACGGCCCAGACUCCUACGGGAGGCAGCAGUGGGGAAUUUUGGACAAUGGGCGCAAGCCUGAUCCAGCAAUGCCGCGUGCAGGAAGAAGGCCUUCGGGUUGUAAACUGCUUUUGUACGGAACGAAACGGUCCGGGUUAAUACCCUGGGCUAAUGACGGUACCGUAAGAAUAAGCACCGGCUAACUACGUGCCAGCCGCCGCCGUAAGAC
rnacentral:rRNA from 1 species